rnacentral:tRNA from 1 species
GGGGUUGUAGCUCAGUGGUAGAGCGCUUGUCUCACACAUGCAACAAGCUGAGUUCGAUCCUCAGUACCA